rnacentral:rRNA from 1 species
CCUACGGGAGGCAGCAGUGGGGGAUAUUGCACAAUGGGGGAAACCCUGAUGCAGCGACGCCGCGUGAGGGAAGACGGUCCUCUGGAUUGUAAACCACUGUCCCCAGGGACGAAGAUGACGGUACCUUGGGAGGAAGCUCCGGCUAACUACGUGCCAGCAGCCGCGGUAAUACGUAGGGAGCGAGCGUUGUCCGGAAUUACUGGGUGUAAAGGGAGCGUAGGCGGGACUGCAAGUUGGGUGUCAAAUCUACCGGCUCAACCGGUAGCCGCACUCAAAACUGCAGUUCUUGAGUGAAGUAGAGGCAGGCGGAAUUCCUAGUGUAGCGGUGAAAUGCGUAGAUAUUAGGAGGAACACCAGUGGCGAAGGCGGCCUGCUGGGCUUUUACUGACGCUGAGGCUCGAAAGUGUGGGGAGCAAACAGGAUUAGAUACCCUUGUAGUC